rnacentral:rRNA from 1 species
UAAUUUAAAGUCUAGCCUGCCCAAUGAUAAUUGAAUGGCCGCGGUAUUUUGACCGUGCUAAGGUAGCAUAAUCAAUAGUUUUUUAAUUGAAAGCUGGAAUGAAGGGUUGGAUAAAAAAAUAACUGUUUUUAUUUAAUUUAAUUAGAAUUUUAUAUUUAAGUUAAAAAGCUUAAAUUUUGUUAAAAGACGAGAAGACCCUAUAGAGUUUAAUAAAUAAUUAUAUUAUUAUAUUUAGAAUUAAUUUUAUUAGUUAUAUUAUUUAUUUAAUUGGGGUGAUUAAAAAAUUCAAAUAACUUUUUUUAUAUUAUAACAUUUAUAGAUGAAUAUUUGAUCCAUAGUUAAUGAUUAAAAGAUAAAAUUACCUUAGGGAUAACAGCGUUAUUUUUUUUUAGAGUUCAAAUCGAAAGAAAAGAUUGCGACCUCGAUGUUGGAUUAAAAUAAAUUUUUGGUGUAGAAGCUAAAAUAUUAGGUCUGUUCGACCUUUAAAAUUUUACAU